AAUAGAGAGACCAAAAAUGGAACGACAUAAGAGAAUUGGUGAAUCUGCCGAGAGUUCCACGUGCUUCAAAUCAAAUGCCAUGCUGGCUUUGCUGCUGUAACUGACAGUAAAGGAAAGGAAAGGAAGGGACGUGACGUGUGGCCACGCAUGGUGUUCCAAACUUGGAAUUUGUGCACUGUAUUUAACCCAUCCAAGUGCACACACACAGAAGUGGAUCCCUGAUGCUUGGCUGUUGGAGUCACAGUUGGCUACAGUGGCUUUGGCAGCACUUCCCAGUUUGAGACAUUUGGAUGACAAGUUGUGACUGUAAUUUCAUAAGAGGCCACCCAGGAUAGACUUAUUGGUGAGAGGAAAUAUCUUCUAGCCGUCCAGAUCUUUGUAGUCCCUCACCAGCAGGUUUUCCAGUUGAUGGAAAAUCUUUGUCUCUUUUUCCUUCCUGUAAACAAAGGACUUUACCUCCGUUGCCAUUUUCAUAUAUUAUUGGUCCCUAUAGCAGCAGUAAAUUAGAAUGUUGCAAUUUAUCGUUCUUGUGUUGCUUUUCUUACUGUUGCUCAUUGCAAAAUCACGAAAACAAAACUGUUGUGAUUUUUGGGCCAAUAGCAUGAUUUAAUGCACCAGUCAAAUAAACAAGUUAAUAUUGAGUCACUUACAUUUUACAUACAAUGUUGACAAAUAAACUUUUCCACAUCUCCAAGCAACACUAUUCCUAAAUGUGUGGUUUUGAACAAAUCGGUUGAUCAAAAGUUUCAGUGUCUCAUUUAAAAAAGGCAAUUGUUUUGCCCCUGAAUGAAUCACAGUUUAUGAACAAAUUGGUUCAGUUAAUGAUUUAAUGACUCGCUCAUUAUCACCCAGUGGUGUAACUAU
ensembl:lncRNA